rnacentral:rRNA from 1 species
UACGAAGGGUGCUAGCGUUGUUCGGAAUCACUGGGCGUAAAGCGUGCGUAGGCGGCUAUGCAAGUCAGGGGUGAAAUCCCGGAGCUUAACUCCGGAACUGCCUUUGAAACUGCAUGGCUAGAGUGUCGGAGGGGAUAGCGGAAUUCCUAAUGUAGUGGUGAAAUACGUAGAUAUUAGGAGGAACACCGGUGGCGAAGGCGGCUAUCUGGACGACAACUGACGCUGAGGCACGAAAGCGUGGGGAUCAAACAGG